ensembl:lncRNA
UUUGCAUGUUAUCUAGGUAAUAUGUUGUGUUUUUUAGUAGCGUGGUAACAUUUUAAUAUACCCUCUCCAUACUGGAAUAGCAUAUGCUUUCUCAGAUUACCUCCACCCUGUCACUUCUAUCCCAGCCCAAGCUUUCUGUGUCAUGGUGCUUCCCAUGUCAUGGGCUUCUAAAACCUCUUCUUGUCAUUUCUUCACAAAUAUUUUAAAGAGGCGCAGAACAUGACCUUGAUGAUAUCAUGUACUUCAGCUUCAGAGUUCCUGCCAACCAGUGAACAGAUAAUGACAAAAGUCAAGUACUAAUUUCAUGCAUCACUCACAAGUGCAAACACAAAGAAUAAGACCUUCUACGAGUACAAGCAUAUUCCCUCAGGUACUUGUAUCACCUACUGAAAAUGCCUCUCCUACCACCUGCAGUCUUCUCUAGAUUAAGUGACAGAAGAAAUCUUUCUCCCUCCACUGUGUAGGAUGACUGUGCUUUCCCCUUGGCGGGGGAAGGCGCUCAGCUGAGGACAUAAGUCAGCCACUAAGAAAAAACACUGAGGCUUCUAGGAGGACAUCUUGAUGUACAAAUCAAAUGUGGAAACACAACAGUUUCACAUGUCUGUCAAUCAUGGCUGAAACCUGUUGUCACCAUA